rnacentral:sRNA from 1 species
GCCGGGUGCAGUGGCACACACCUGUAAUCCCAGCAACUCAGGAGGCUGAGGCAGGAGAAUUGCAAGCUCAAAGCCAGACUCGGCAAAAGCGAGGCCCUAAGCAGCUCAGUAAGACCCUGUCUCUA